UACGGAGGGUGCGAGCGUUGUCCGGAAUCACUGGGCGUAAAGGGCGCGUAGGCGGCAGGCCAAGCGUGCGGUGAAAGCUCGGGGCUCAACUCCGAGUCGGCCGUGCGAACUGGGCUCACUGGAGCAUAGUAGAGGCAGGUGGAAUUCCGGGUGUAGCGGUGGAAUGCGUAGAGAUCCGGAAGAACACCGGUGGCGAAGGCGGCCUGCUGGGCUAUGGCUGACACUGAGGCGCGACAGCGUGGGGAGCAAACAGG
rnacentral:rRNA from 1 species